GGAGCGACGCCGCGUGGAGGAUGAAGGCCUUCGGGUUGUAAACUCCUGUCAUGCGGGAACAAGCAAGUGAUAGUACCGCAAGAGGAAGAGACGGCUAACUCUGUGCCAGCAGCCGCGGUAAUACAGAGGUCUCAAGCGUUGUUCGGAUUCAUUGGGCGUAAAGGGUGCGUAGGUGGUGACGCAAGUCUGGUGUGAAAUCUCGGAGCUCAACUCCGAAAUUGCACCGGAUACUGCGUGACUCGAGGACUGUAGAGGAGAUCGGAAUUCACGGCGUAGCAGUGAAAUGCGUAGAUAUCGUGAGGAAGACCAGUUGCGAAGGCGGAUCUCUGGGCAGUUCCUGACACUGAGGCACGAAGGCCAGGGGAGCAAACGGGAUUAGAUACCCCGGUAGUCCUGGCAGUAAACGGUGCACGUUUGGUGUGGGCGGGUUCAGACCCCGUCCGUGCCGGAGCUAACGCGUUAAACGUGCCGCCUGGGAAGUACGGUCGCAAGAUUA
rnacentral:rRNA from 1 species